rnacentral:misc_RNA from 1 species
GUCAAAAUAAGCAUCUCCAAUUCAUUCAGAAUUUGCAGAUACAGAACUUUCAAGCAUUGAAUUCUGCCAAAUAGCUUUUACGUUUGGAAAACCCAAAUUAAGUUUCUAACUAAAAACAAAUUUUUACAAUUACCAGCUAGCUAGACAUGAAUCUUGCACCAAAUAUAAUUAAAUGCGGAUUCUUUAUCAGGAUCACCUAAUUAUCAAAAUUCUUGAUAAAGAAUUUCCAAGCACGAAGACCCUUAGUUUUCAUGUCGCCUGUAAACAAGACUAUAAUUUGAAGAAACAAUCUUGUAAAGGCUUAUAAAUUACCCAGACCUCAUCAAGAAAACACUCAGUUCUUGACCAGGGCACUCGUCUGGGUUAAUCAAAUGAAACGACUCCGAAUCAGCAUUACCCACUACGUGCUCAUAAUUAGCCCGCAUAUACAUGAUCUCCUCUGAACCCAUUGAUCCGAAUCCGGAUGGAAUAACACCAGCCCCGACCGUCAUUGAUUGCAUGGUCUUCAACAUCAAACGGUUCUGAUCGCUCGCCUUCCUCCUUAGAGCAAACCCAACUCUCUUCCCGUUGCAGUACAUGGUCCAAACCGGAACCGAACGAAGAGGGCACGAACUGAAGUCGGAUCGGUCGCACUCUAGCGCUAUCCGGACGAGUCCGCAUUGCAUUUCUUUGACGAGUUGAUUGGUGGGCAUGGAGAGUUCAAGGAGGAGGAGAGGUUUAAUGGAGAGGCGGUCGUGUUGAAUGCAGAGCCACACAUGGCCGCGACGGUUCCCAAAAAUGGUGCCGACUACCAUGGUUUUCGAGGGACGUGAAGGGGCCAAAGUAUUGUUGGCGUUGAUGGUUGAUUCAGAGGAUGCUGAGUCGUGGUCUUGAUCUUGAUUGUGGGAUUCUUGGGUGGUUUUGGGGUUAGGAAGAUCAUCGCGAAGGGAGGUGCUGAGACGUUUCUUGGUGGUUAGCUUGUUGGCGGUGGUGUUAGUGGAAGGAGAGAAGCAGGGGAGGAGGAAUCGACGGAGGACGUCGAUCUUGGUCAUGGGUUUUGAGUUUCUUGGGAGGGCUUUGAGGGAUAAGGGAAUGGACGAUUGAGAGGAUAAGUAAUGGAGGAUGAUUGGG